UAACGGCCCACCAAGGCGACGAUCAGUAGGGGUUCUGAGAGGAAGGUCCCCCACAUUGGAACUGAGACACGGUCCAAACUCCUACGGGAGGCAGCAGUGAGGAAUAUUGGUCAAUGGGCGAGAGCCUGAACCAGCCAAGUAGCGUGAGGGACGACUGCCCUAUGGGUUGUAAACCUCUUUUGUUUGGGAAUAAAGUGCGCCACGUGUGGCGCAUUGCAUGUACCAUUUGAAUAAGGACCGGCUAAUUCCGUGCCAGCAGCCGCGGUAAUACGGAAGGUCCGGGCGUUAUCCGGAUUUAUUGGGUUUAAAGGGAGCGUAGAUGGGUUGUUAAGUCAGUUGUGAAAGUUUGCGGCUCAACCGUAAAAUUGCAAUUGAUACUGGCAGCCUUGAGUACAGUUGAGGUAGGCGGAAUUCGUGGUGUAGCGGUGAAAUGCUUAGAUAUCACGAAGAACUCCGAUUGCGAAGGCAGCCUACUAAACUGCCACUGACAUUGAUGCUCGAAAGUGUGGGUAUCAAACAGGAUUAGAUACCCUGGUAGUCCACACGGUAAACGAUGAAUACUCGCUGUUUGCGAUAUACAGCAAAGCGGCCAAGCGAAAGCGUUAAGUAUUCCACUGGGGAGUACGCCGGCAACGGUGAAACUCAAAGGAAUUGACGGGGGCCCGCACAAGCGGAGGAACAUUGUGGUUUAAUUCGAUGAUACGCGAGGAACCUUACCCGGGCUUGAAUUGCACUCGAAUAUAGCGGAAACGUUAUAGCUAGCAAUAGCGAGUGUGAAGGUGCUGCAUGGUUGUCGUCAGCUCGUGCCGUGAGGUGUCGGCUUAAGUGCCAUAACGAGCGCAACCCUUGUCUAUAGUUACUAACAGGUCAUGCUGAGGACUCUAUGGAGACUGCCAUCGUAAGAUGUGAGGAAGGUGGGGAUGACGUCAAAUCAGCACGGCCCUUACGUCCGGGGCCACACACGUGUUACAAUGGGGGGUACAGAGGGCCGCUACCACGCAAGUGGAUGCCAGUCCCGAAAGCCUCUCUCAGUUCGGACUGGAGUCUGCAACCCGACUCCACGAAGCUGGAUUCGCUAGUAAUCGCGCAUCAGCCAUGGCGCGGUGAAUACGUUCCCGGGCCUUGCACACAACGCCCGUCAAG
rnacentral:rRNA from 1 species